AACUGAUUCUUUUCUAUUGUGCUACAAGGAAAGCGAAAAGUCACGCUUCCCAGUUUCAAAACUGUUGAGGGUUGAGUCUUCGAUUGAUCCUGAAAUUGAGAAAAAGAAGAUGAUCAGAGAUAAGAAUGAGAAGAUGAUGAAGAACAAAGAGAUUGGCAAUUAAAGGAAGAAGAUGAAGUGGUCGUUAACGAAGGAAACGAAGAAGCAACGUUUUGUGUGUUGGAUUGAAAAGGUGAGUUGGGCCAUGUUGGUUUUAGUUUCGGCCCAGUAGAAAAAUGAGUUUAUGAGUGUAGUUGAAGCCCAUUCGGUUAAGUAUGUUGUUAGAGUCUUAUAACUAAGUUAUGUGAGUUUAGUUGAAUUAAGUAAGUGGUUUAGGGUUUAGAAACACGUCAAACAUAUCACCAGGGAGAUGAUAAUGAAGGACAAAGAGGAAGUUUUGGCAAUUAUGAUUGGUGGUGGUAGACUCUAAUGGUGAAGAUGAGACGUUACCUUCUUUUCAAUCAAUUGUUGAUGAUGAAACAUUUGAUGAUGAAGAUGAUGAAGCAGCUUAAGUUUCAGUUUGAUUUGAUUUUCAGGUUUUAGUUAAAUUCAGUUUGAGUUUAAGUAUGACUUUGAGUUUUAGUUUGGUUUCAGUUUCAGACUUUAAGUAUGAUUACUUUUAGUUUGGUUUGAGUUUUAAGUAUGACUUUGACUUUAUGUUUGAGUUUCAGCUUUGGUUCUAAUGUUUCAGACUUUGAAUAUUUGAGUUUUAAAAAUUCAGUGUUUAAGA